rnacentral:SRP_RNA from 1 species
GCCAGGCACGGUGGCAUGUUCCUGUAGUCCUAGCUACUCGGGAGGCUGAGGCAGGAGGAUCACUUGUGCCCAAGAGUUCUGAGCUGUAGUGCGCUAUGCUGAUCGGGUGUCUGCACUAAGUUCGGCAUCAGACCUCCUGGGAGCCGGGGACCACCAGGUUGCCUAAGGAGGGGUGAACCGGCCCAGGUUGGAAAUGGAGUAGGUCAAAACUUCCGUGCUGAUCAGUAGUGGGAUAGCGCCUGUGAAUAGCUACUGCACUCCAGCCUGGACAGCAUAGCAAGACCUUGUCUCU